rnacentral:tRNA from 1 species
GGGGUUGUGGCUCAGUGGUAGAGUGCUCACCUCACACAUGUGGGGCCCUGGGUUUGAUCCUCAGCACCACA